GAGUAAUUAAUUUUCGAAAUUGCAUCUUUUACACGUAGAGGUAUAGAGAGAUGGUAAAGUUAGUAUGAAAUCUUUGGCCCACUCGAGUGGUACAUCAUGACGGACAGUAGAAAAAAAAAAAACAUGAAAGUAAAUUAAAAUAAAAUGGGGUCAAAAAAGAUGUAACUGGAUAAAAAAGUUUAAUUAAAAAAAUUUAUUGAGACCUGCAGUACAGGAAGCGAGGAAAGUUGAUAAUUUUUUACGAUUUGAAAUAAAAAGAAGAUUUGUGAAUUUUAAAGAAAAGCUUUUCAUUGUCAGCGAAUUUCAGAGGGAAAAAAAUUCUUUCCAUGAUUAAGAAAAAUAACUGAGUAAACUAUCAUCCACCGGAUCCGUUCUAUUUUGCGUGUGUAGAAUUGGCAUUGACAUGAAAAUGAAUCUCGGAAGAUUAUUGCAUCUAGCUAGUAUUAUACCUCUAAUAAAAGUCGGGGGAAAAUUGUCCAUAAGUGAGUCAAUAAAAUAAUUCAAUAAAUUAAUUAAUCACCAGUCAUCAUAAUCAUAAUUUAUCAUAUGAUAUCAAUUGAAAAUAUUUAUAUGGAACAGUUGAAUAUUUAUGUUUGCAAACGGUAACCCAAAAUUUACAGUCGAUUUAGUGGGUUACUCAUGACAAAUUAAAUGACAUAAUCUCUCAAAAAUGAAUAAAAUUUCCCGGUCACUACUUUAUCGCCGUUUAAAUAAUAGUAUACGAUCGCUGAUAUAAUACUGUUAUGACAUAAUACAGACAGUGCAUUCACACCACUCAACCAAGUAAAGUACGAGUAGAGAAGAUCACCGUCAUCGUCGCUCGCUCAUCGUCAUCAUCUACUCAGUACUAUAGAGCUAGGCAUACCAGCGGCUAAGUCGUCGUCGGUGGGUUCCGUGUCACAGGAAAAGAAGCAUUAUCCACUCAGAGCUCUGUCGGUUCUCUCUUUCGAGCAACCACUUUACUUUGUGCUCUAGUUUAAAUGUGUGUAUUCACCACCCACCUACUUUAAUCCCUCCUAUUUCUUCGUGCCUACUUGUCUAUAUUCUAUGUACCAUAUAUAUUUAUUCAUUAACAAUUCUCCUACAAAGUUAUCGUCACAUGUCAUAAAUACCGAUAUAAAAUAGAUUUUUUCUUAAUAUGU